rnacentral:rRNA from 1 species
ACGCUCGACACCUACUGGAGGCAGCAGUGGGGAAUAUUGCACAAUGGGGGAAACCCUGAUGCAGCGACGCCGCGUGGAGGAAGAAGGUCUUCGGAUUGUAAACUCCUGUUGUUAGGGAAAAGAGGAUGGUACCCAACAAGGAAGUGACGGCUAACUACGUGUCAGCAGCCGCGGUAAUCUGAGCGGGCUGGCAAGGC